UGCAUUUGACAUAUCCAAUGUGAUCAUAAACCCUCAAGGAUCUGAUGUUGAAGAGUUUCUCAAAAUAUAAGUUAGUAAAUUUUGUAUUGCAAAUGUUGUUUGUUAGUUUUAAGUGAUACUGAUUUUGUCAUCUGAAAUAUUACAGAUCAUCUAGUAAUAAUUUGGCUCUAACAAGUUUGAGUGACGAAGAUUUGAAAAUUGUUAAGAGAUACAAAAAAGACCACUGGAGGCAUUGUCCAGAAAUAUCAAUAUCAGAAAUCCUAAUGACUAAUAAAAUAUUUUAAAACAUUUAGUGAUAAACACAUAUAAUACUUAGACAUCUUUCAAAAAAUUUACCAAGAUUUGUUUUAGUGCAAGUCCAUCUUUUUAUAUAUAUUUCCAAAAAGCCUUAGCCCUUUACAAAAAAGAGGGCCAAAUGUUUUUUACUAGAAUAUUAUGUAUGUUGGACUCAAUUUCGGUCAACACUUUGAUCGGGCCUGAAUGAUUCAGGCAGUGCGACCUACGAAAAAGCCCAAUCCAUGCUAGUGAGUCCUGAUCGAUUUGAAGAGCCGAAGAUCGCGGGGAAGUUGAGAGAAAUUCGAGAUCGAUUGGUUAUAAAAGGAGAUCGUCAGAAACAAGGAAAGGGACGGACAGAAAACCCUAGAGAGAGCUUAACACACAUCGAACUCAUUUCACUUCGCUUUAAGUCUUUUCUCUUAUGGAUUUCAUUUGUAAUAUUGGAUCUCGUUUCUCUUAUUGUAUUCAGUCUUAUUCAUCAAUAAAAUUCAUCUUUGCC
rnacentral:lncRNA from 1 species